GGGCCCGUGGCCUAGCUGGACAAGGCGUCGGCCCUCUAAGCCGGAGAUCGCGGGUUCGAAUCCCGCCGGGCCCG
rnacentral:tRNA from 1 species